AUAACCGCAAGGCUUAAGAGGAGGGGUGAGAAAAAGUCGUAUAAAAGGCGAGAGAAAAGUCGACAGGGAUCAGUCGAGCGAGUAUCUCCGACACGGUAACAGCUGCAUUCCACUAUCUGCCAUCAGCUGCAUUCUUCAUCGUACUAUCAGUUCUCAAUCAUGGUAAACUAUGCUGCCGUGCUGUUGUUGGGUGUUGUGUCGUUGAUGGCUGGUUCAGCCACUGGCGUACCGAUGUAUCCUGGGUAUGGCGGAUACCAAAGCACUACACUGCCGCCUUAGGACACAACUUACGACACAACCAGUUGCUACACCGAUGCCCCCCAGGUACUUCACCACCAUGCUGCCCCGAGCUACUACACCGAAUCCCCGCAGUAUUAUUCUUCUCCGAGCUACACUACUAAAGGGUAGAGUACUACACCGAGGCUCCCCAACACUACACCACCAAGGCACCGGAGUACUACACCACUACAUAUCAUGGUAAUGAAGGAGAGAAAAGGUGAAAUAUUUCAGCAGCCGAUUGAGCAUCUCCGUUACGGCAACAGGAACUGCCGUGCACUAUUUGUCAUCAACUUCAUUCUUCGUCGCAUUAAAAGUUUUAAAUAAAGUAAACUAUGGCGUCGUGCUGCUGUUGGGUGUUGUAUUGUUGAUGGGUGGUUCAGCCAUGGUGUACCGAUGUCUCCUGGCUUACUACACUGAGGUUUACAAGUGCUACACCACCAUGGAUCCAGAGUAUUACACCACAGCUCAUGUUGCCCCGACCUACUACGCUGAAUGCCCGAAGUAUUUUUCUUCCCCGAGCUACACUACCAAAGGGUCGAGAACUACGUCGAGGCUCCCAAGUACUACAUCACCCAGGCACCGGAGUACAAAAACGGUUGAAUACUACACAGAAGCUAUCAUGGGAAACUAUGGUGUCGUGUUGCUGUGAGUGUUGUAAUCAUGAUGGCUGGAUCGACCACUGGUGUGCCGAUAUCUCCUGGGUAUGGUGGGCAUCAACAACAUACGCAACAACCGCUUACUACACUGGGACCUGCAAGUGCCAAACCACCAAGGCUUCAGAGUAUUACACCACAGUUUAUGUUGGCACGAGCUACUACGCAGAAGCUCCGGAAUAAUUUUCUUCCCCGCUUCACUACCUUCACCACGCCGCGUCCUUACUAAACAACAACAACAACGUCGUCAACACCUACUUACUAAACGAACGCCUCCAAGUACUACGCCAUAAAGGCUUCGACUACCACACCGAGGAUCAACCUGUUACACCGCCGAAGCGCCCAAGUACUGCACUACAACCUACAUUGCCCCAGCUUACACCACGAAGGCAGCGGAGUCCUACUACACCACGAAGGCAGCGGAGUCCUACUACACCACGAAGGCAGCGGAGUCCUACUACACCACGAAGGCAGCGGAGUCCUACUACACCACGAAGGCAGCGGAGUCCUACUACACCACGAAGGCAGCGGAGUCCUACUACACCACGAAGGCAGCGGAGUCCUACUACACCACGAAGGCAGCGGAGUCCUACUACACCACGAAGGCAGCGGAGUCCUACUACACCACGAAGGCAGCGGAGUCCUACUACACCACGAAGGCAGCGGAGUCCUACUACACCACGAAGGCAGCGGAGUCCUACUACACCACGAAGGCAGCGGAGUCCUACUACACCACGAAGGCAGCGGAGUCCUACUACACCACGAAGGCAGCGGAGUCCUACUACACCACGAAGGCAGCGGAGUCCUACUACACCACGAAGGCAGCGGAGUCCUACUACACCACGAAGGCAGCGGAGUCCUACUACACCACGAAGGCAGCGGAGUCCUACUACACCACGAAGGCAGCGGAGUCCUACUACACCACGAAGGCAGCGGAGUCCUACUACACCACGAAGGCAGCGGAGUCCUACUACACCACGAAGGCAGCGGAGUCCUACUACACCACGAAGGCAGCGGCAAGUUAAACCGAGGCUCCAGUUUACUACAAUACAACCUUCGCUGCUCCAUCGUACUACACCGAUGUUCCCAAGUACUACACCAUCAAGGCAUCCGAGUAUUACGCAUUACUUACGCACAAUCAUUACUACACCGAAGCUUCGAACGCAUCACUCUGCCCCGAGUUACUACACCACUAAGGCAGUCAAAUAUUACACCACAAACUACUAUCCCGCAAUUUUCUAAAAGGAAAUUUCUAAAUACUAGGGCCGGAAAUUCUUGAGGUUAUUUAUAUAUGUCGGUUAUUUUCGUGGUCAUUGGUUAUUGGGAAUUAAUUAUUGAUCUUACAUGAAAAAAUAAAAGUUUUAAUAUGGGUAA
rnacentral:misc_RNA from 1 species